rnacentral:rRNA from 1 species
AACGAACGCUGGCGGCAGGCCUAACACAUGCAAGUCGAACGCUCUAGCAAUAGAGAGUGGCAGACGGGUGAGUAACGCGUGGGAAACUUCCUAGGGGUACGGAAUAGCUCAGGGAAACUUGGGGUAAUACCGUAUGAUGCCGUAAGGCCAAAGAUUUAUCGCCCUUAGAUGUGCCCGCGUCGGAUUAGCUAGUUGGUGAGGUAAUGGCUCACCAAGGCGACGAUCCGUAGCUGGUUUGAGAGAAUGACCAGCCACACUGGGACUGAGACACGGCCCAGACUCCUACGGGAGGCAGCAGUGGGGAAUCUUGGACAAUGGGCGCAAGCCUGAUCCAGCCAUGCCGCGUGAGUGACGAAGGCCUUAGGGUUGUAAAGCUCUUUUGCCGGGGACGAUAAUGACGGUACCCGGAGAAUAAGUCCCGGCUAACUUCGUGCCAGCCGCCGCAGUAACAC